rnacentral:rRNA from 1 species
GCUUUAACACAUGCAAGUCGAGCGGGCGUAGCAAUACGUCAGCGGCAGACGGGUGAGUAACGCGUGGGAACGUACCUUUUGGUUCGGAACAACUGAGGGAAACUUCAGCUAAUACCGGAUAAGCCCUUACGGGGAAAGAUUUAUCGCCGAAAGAUCGGCCCGCGUCUGAUUAGCUAGUUGGUGAGGUAAUGGCUCACCAAGGCGACGAUCAGUAGCUGGUCUGAGAGGAUGAUCAGCCACAUUGGGACUGAGACACGGCCCAAACUCCUACGGGAGGCAGCAGUGGGGAAUAUUGGACAAUGGGCGAAAGCCUGAUCCAGCCAUGCCGCGUGAGUGAUGAAGGCCCUAGGGUUGUAAAGCUCUUUUGUGCGGGAAGAUAAUGACGGUACC